GCCUGGAUAGCUUAGUUGGUUAGAGCGUGGUGCUGAUAGUGUCAAGGUUGCAGGUUCGAUCCUUGUAUGAGACG